rnacentral:lncRNA from 1 species
UGCAUUUCGACUUACUAGUAUGUAUUGAAUGUGUACCCGCUUUUGAGGAUGUUGACAGUGCACGCAUUGUAAAUGGACUAUUUCGCUCACCAAAACACACAAA